GAGGAACGCUGGCGGCUUUCUUAACACAUGCAAGUCGAACGGAAAGGCCCUGCUUUUGUGUGGUGCUCGAGUGGCGAACGUGUGAGUAACACGGGAGUAACCUGCCCUGGACUGUGGGAUAACUUCAGGAAACUGGGGCUAAUACCGGAUAGGAGCGCCUGCUGCAUGGUGGGGGUUGGAAAGUUUCGGCGGUUGGGGAUGGACUCGCGGCUUAUCAGCUUGUUGGGUGGGUAGUGGCUUACCAAGGGUUUGCAGGUUAGCCGGCCUGAGAGGGUGAACGGCCACAUUGGGACUGAGAUACGGACCAGACUCCUACGGGAGGCAGCAGUGGGGAAUCUUGCACAAUGGGCGGAAGCCUGAUGAAGCAACGCCGCGUGCGGGAAGAAGGUAGUCGGGUUGUAAACCGCUUUCGCCUGUGACGAAGCGUGAGUGACGGUAAUGGGUAAAGAAGCAAAGGCUAAAUACGGG
rnacentral:rRNA from 1 species